AACGAACGCUGGCGGCAGGCCUAACACAUGCAAGUCGAACGCUCGUAGCAAUACGGGAGUGGCAGACGGGUGAGUAACACGUGGGAACCUUCCCUAUGGUUCGGAAUAGCUCAGGGAAACUUGGGGUAAUACCGGAUAAGCCCUUCGGGGGAAGGAUUAUCGCCAUUGGAUGGGCCCGGCGUCGGAUUAGCUAGUUGGUGAGGUAACGGCUCACCAAGGCAACGAUCCGUAGCUGGUCUGAGAGGAUGAUCAGCCACACUGGGACUGAGACACGGCCC
rnacentral:rRNA from 1 species